CGAUUAAAUUCUCCAUUUCAAAAAAGUAAUAAAUAUUAUAGUAAUUAAUAUUCAUAUUAAUAUUAAUUGUAAAUCAUUAUUAAAAAAAAAUUAUUU
rnacentral:miRNA from 1 species